rnacentral:rRNA from 1 species
CGUGAGGAAGGCAGACCCAGGGAACUGAAACAUCUAAGUACCUGGAGGAAGAGAAAGAAAAAUCGAUUUCCUGAGUAGCGGCGAGCGAAACGGAAAGAGCCCAAACCAAGAAGCUUGCUUCUUGGGGUUGUAGGACACUCUAUAUGGAGUUACAAAAGAAAGUUAUAAAUGAAGCGGUCUGGAAAGGCCCGCCAAAGACGGUAACAGCCCGGUAGUUGAAAUGGCUUUCCCUCCAGAGUGGAUCCUGAGUACGGCGGAACACGUGAAAUUCCGUCGGAAUCCGGGAGGACCAUCUCCCAAGGCUAAAUACUCCCUAGUGACCGAUAGUGAACCAGUACCG